GUCUUUUAUGGACCAAAUGUUUGUGUGCCCCCAGAUUAAUCCACUGGAACUCUACCUGCAAAGUGAUAGUCUUUGAAGAUGGGGACUUUGGGCUCCCGUCUUUGGACUCUGCAGCUGCAGACCAGUCCUGCAUCCUCACUGUCCCCGAUCCACACCUGCAGGGCCAGAUGGCCCAUGGCAACGAGAAUGACGGAGCCACUUCUUCCAGGGUUCCACCGACUCAAGACCAGCUCAGACCCAUCCCCAUGCACAGCGCGCCCUGCCUGGCUCCGAGGGGUGGGAGGUGGUUCAUUAAGAGGCUGCACGGUGGUGCUGGAGUGGCAUGGAGUAUUCCAGAAACACAUCGUCUGGUGUCCUCAGCAAAACAGCUGAGAAGAGCAGACGUGGGCUGUGCCCUCACAUG
rnacentral:lncRNA from 1 species